rfam:Thielaviopsis punctulata NODE_37, whole genome shotgun sequence.
GAUUCCUUAACUUAAUUCGGUUAAAGUGCAUCCUUGAUAAGGAUGAAAUUAGCGUUCAAGUCGCUAAGGAAUUA